GCACUAAUCCCCCCAGGGGAACCUGGCCCUUAAUUCGAUGAUCCACGAACCUCUUACCUUCCCUAGUUUUGCCCCCUGCUGAGAGGUUGGGGGUGAAGGUCAGUUCGUAUACCGCCGUUUCGCAGCUCGUAUCGUGAGAGGACAUAAAAGGGCGAAAUAGCGGCACCCAUGCAGAUAAAGGGGCUUCGCUACCAAUUCAGGUAAACGUGCGGCCAACGGGGAGGGGGGAGCUGGGUUACAAUUGGGGUUUGUAAUGGAUCCCCAGCUUAAAGGCUGCGGUGAAAGCGUACUUGGAAGUAACGAUCUUGGGCAAUGAGGUGGUGAAUGGUAGCUCUAGUGUGUGU
rnacentral:rRNA from 1 species